rnacentral:rRNA from 1 species
UACGGAGGAUGCAAGCGUUAUCCGGAUUUAUUGGGUUUAAAGGGUGCGCAGGCGGGCUGUUAAGUCAGCGGUGAAAUGUCCCGGCUCAACCGGGGCACUGCCGUUGAUACUGGCAGCCUAGAGUACAGACGGCGCCGGCGGAAUGUGUCAUGUAGCGGUGAAAUGCUUAGAUAUGCCACAGAACACCGAUCGCGAAGGCAGCUGGCGAGGCUGGGACUGACGCUCAGGCACGAAAGCGUGGGGAUCAAAC